CCUACGGGUGGCAGCAGUAAGGAAUAUUGGACAAUGGAGGCAACUCUGAUCCAGCCAUGCCGCGUGAAGGAUGAAGGCGCUACGCGUUGUAAACUUCUUUUCUCUUAGAAAAAACUACUGGUUUCGUACCGGUACUGAUUGUACAAGAGGAAUAAGCAUCGGCUAACUUCGUGCCAGCAGCCGCGGUAAUACGAAGGAUGCAAGCGUUAUCCGGAUUCACUGGGUUUAAAGGGUGUGCAGGUGGGGUAAUAAGUCAGUGGUGAAAGCCCCCGACUCAAUCGGGGAACUGC
rnacentral:rRNA from 1 species